CCUACGGGGGGCAGCAGUGAGGAAUAUUGGUCAAUGGACGGAAGGCUGAACCAGCCAAGCCGCGUGAAGGACGACGGUGCUAAGCAUUGUAAACUUCUUUUGUACAGGGACAAACUCAGGCUCGAGAGCCUGACCGAGAGUACUUUAAGAAAAAGCAUCGGCUAACUCCGUGCCAGCAGCCGCGGUAAUACGGAGGAUGCGAGCGUUAUCCGGAUUUAUUGGGUGUAAAGGGUGCGUAGACGGUGAAACAAGUCAGAAGUGAAAUCCCAGGGCUCAACCUUGGGACUGCUUUUGAUACUGAGUAGCUAGAGUGCAGGAGAGGUAAGCGGAAUGCCUAGUGUAGCGGUGAAAUGCGUAGAGAUUAGGAGGAACACCAGUGGCGAAGGCGGCUUACUGGACUGUAACUGACGUUGAGGCACGAAAGCGUGGGGAGCAAACAGGAUUAGAUACCCGUGUAGUC
rnacentral:rRNA from 1 species